rnacentral:rRNA from 1 species
UACGGGGGGGGUAAGCGUUGUUCGGAAUCACUGGGCGUAAAGGGCUUGUAGGUGGCCAACUAAGUCAGACGUGAAAUCCCUCGGCUUAACCGGGGAACUGCGUCUGAUACUGGAUGGCUUGAGUUUGGGAGAGGGAUGCGGAAUUCCAGGUGUAGCGGUGAAAUGCGUAGAUAUCUGGAGGAACACCGGUGGCGAAGGCGGCAUCCUGGACCAAUACUGACACUGAAAAGCGAAAGCCAGGGGAGCAAACAGGG